CGGCCCGAAUCUUGGUAAACUAUUGUAUUAUGUGCUUCCCUCACCAUUGAGUGAGUUUUCUGCCAUCCCAAGCGAGUAGCAAGCUAGGUGAGGCGAACAAGUGAGAGUUUAUCGUACACGUCCCUGAGUUUGAAUCCUUAGGGUUUUGCGGAGCUAGAUAUUCGACAAGUACCUCGGCAGCGAGCGAGCCACCGCCCGUUGCCUCCUCGCUUCCCGCAUGGAUUUUAAUGGUCAAUGCUUCACCUCCCAUCCCUUCGUGGCGUUCCCGAUGCUCAGCCGGUCAGCCCCAUCCUUAUAUGCUGCAACGCCCGUUGGGACGGCGAGGAUGAGGAGCUCCGAACCCUAGCCAAGCUCGCUAGAGAGUGGAGACGGAUCCAUAGCAGUGUCGCACGCAGUGUUGAUUGCACCACGCCAUCACCCUCUUGCGGACGACGGAUCUACUCCCACGGGGCGAUUCUGCAAGGCUGCAAGAUGUCAUCUAAGGUUCAAGAGAUCGUUGGGACAGGCACCGUUGUGCCUACUUCAACUCUAACGGCAGCUGUUGUAGUACAUAUGGAUGUCGAGAAGGCCACUAGCAACGAUCGCGCUGAUGAGACAGUGUAAACAGCGAAAGCAGGGAAGGAGGACAAUGACAAGAAAGACACCCGGAAGCAGAUGGCUUCAAGUUCAGAGUAGUGCAUCUCAGUUAGCUGAAUCUGCAAUUGGAGGGCGCGACUUUAGUUCGUGUGUUAAACUAUUGUUUUGGAUGUUAUAUUUUGAGUCAGAUAUGGUAUGCUUAUGUCUGAUCUGCUGCUUAAA